rnacentral:rRNA from 1 species
GACGAACGCUGGCGGCGUGCUUAACACAUGCAAGUCGAACGGAAAGGCCCUGCUUUUGUGGGGUGCUCGAGUGGCGAACGGGUGAGUAACACGUGAGUAACCUGCCCUUGACUUUGGGAUAACUUCAGGAAACUGGGGCUAAUACCGGAUAGGAGCUCCUGCUGCAUGGUGGGGGUUGGAAAGUUUCGGCGGUUGGGGAUGGACUCGCGGCUUAUCAGCUCGUUGGUGGGGUAGUGGCUUACCAAGGCUAUGACCGGUAGCAGGCCUGGGAGGGGGACCGGCCCCGUUAGACCUGGGCUACGACCCAGACUAGAAUGGUAGGCAACGGUGGAGAAGAUUAUACAGGGGACUGGGGGCUGGUGCGAUCACGCAGCGUGGGGGAAGAGAUGCUGCGCGUUGUGAACUGCUUUCGCCUGACACGAGGUGUGAAUGACGGUACCGGGAGAAUAAGCACCGGCUAACUACGUG